rnacentral:rRNA from 1 species
UCCUACGGGAGGCAGCAGUGGGGAAUAUUGCACAAUGGGGGAAACCCUGAUGCAGCGACGCCGCGUGAAGGAAGAAGUAUUUCGGUAUGUAAACUUCUAUCAGCAGGGAAGAAGAUGACGGUACCUGAGUAAGAAGCACCGGCUAAAUACGUGCCAGCAGCCGCGGUAAUACGUAUGGUGCAAGCGUUAUCCGGAUUUACUGGGUGUAAAGGGAGCGUAGACGGAUAGGCAAGUCUGGAGUGAAAACCCAGGGCUCAACCCUGGGACUGCUUUGGAAACUGCAGAUCUGGAGUGCCGGAGAGGUAAGCGGAAUUCCUAGUGUAGCGGUGAAAUGCGUAGAUAUUAGGAGGAACACCAGUGGCGAAGGCGGCUUACUGGACGGUGACUGACGUUGAGGCUCGAAAGCGUGGGGAGCAAACAGGAUUAGAUACCCUGGUAGUCC